rnacentral:lncRNA from 1 species
UGUGAAGAUAAUUUAAAGUGAGAUGUUCAUCAUAAUGAAAUACAAUAAAUUGGCAGUGCAAACAAGCAGUGAGUGAGCUAAGUGUUUUAUGUAUUUAGGGUCUUAUCAGAUCUAGAUCUUCUAAUAUAUAUAUACACAUUUGUAUUAGGGUUCAGUUUGUAGUUUCAGGUCAAGUUCCAGUCGAUGUUAGACAUUCACAGCAUUCUUGAAUUAUUUAACCAGUAGUGGAUAGAAAUAUUGUUGUUACAAAUUAAAGAUUCUAAAAGGUAGGUUUUAAUAGCACAAUAAAUUGAUACCGACUCUUUACCAUUAAACACAAGCCUGUUUUGAGCAUUGUGCUCUUUGUGGGGUAUUCUAUGGCGAAAUCCCCAUAUACUGUCACUACAUGUAAUGAGUCAAUUAAUGUUUCUAAAGAACAUAAAUGUAAUAUUCUUAAUUUACAUAGCAAGAAGAGAAUAAGGAAUAUCAAAUGAACCAAACAUGUUUUCAUUCCAGCUAUCAUCAAUUCACAAUUUCUUUUUUCUUCUCGAAUAACAUUUAAAUAAAAAAU